GAGACGUGGGGAACGAGAUCCGCGACUUGGUCUCGCCACAGGGAGGCGACGACACCGACGCUCGCGAUCUCCUUCCUCCGGCGACCGCCCUCCGUCGUCUCCGUCUUCCGCUGUCCUCCGCCGUAGAAGAUCUCCGCCUCCGUCUUCCGCCGUCCGAGAACUCCUCCUUCCGAGCUCUCCGCCGCUCGCCUUCGUCCAGGUUCUCCUCCACUCGCCUCGUCCGAGAUUUCUGUCCGUGCUCGUCCAAAAUCUUCGCCCGAGCUCGCCACAAAGGUUAUCCCCUUCAUCAAAUUUGCUCCAGAUCUGCUCAUUUCUCUAGGUAUAGCUCCAGAUUGCUACAGAUCCAUAAAUUUCUAACGAAUCUCCCUCGUUUAUUUGGCCAAGAACGUGAGCAGUGAGUCUUCCUACUGUCUAGACAUAAUUAAUACUUAUCUCCAGUCAUAGCAAAUUUUCUCUUGAGCUAGUCUUGAUCCGUGUGAUUAAUUGGCAGUCACAGCGUUUGUUCUCGUAUUCUGGUCUAUAAUACAUGGAUGUUGUGUUGCUAAUUUCAUGCUUGCUGAAGGUUGUGACGGGACGUAGUUGAAAGCCAUUGUUUCUGCUAUCAUGAAUCACUGGGAUGGUUAGCAUUACAUCUGCUGCUGCUUGGUAUGUCUCCAAGUAUCAUACAGAAAUAAAUUAAACCAACAUCAUAUCAUAAUUAGGAUUUAUAUUAUCUUAUGAUCAGAGUGAAUUUUUUAGUGAUGCCUGAACCAAAAUGCUAGAUUGCCUUGUGAUCUUAAGACUCGUUGUAUUGUGUUUGCAAUCAUACUAUAAAUAUAUACCAUUGUUCAGUACACAUUUAGUUCAGAGGUCUGUGUGACAUUAAUUCCAUCAGGCUGCUAUUUUUGUGUGUCAUCAGGCGACUUUGUGAAAAAUAUUGCUCUCAAUUUCAAUCUGAUGUGAGCAUAAGCUGCAUUAGUAAUGAGUGCUUAGAACACUACUGCUAGCUAAAUCCCCAACCAAGAUAUUCUGGUGGUGACAUGGUUCCAUUUAGAUACAAGUCCUAUUUGUGAUACCUUGCUUAUCUUCAGGGCAUUCAUGGGAGUGACACGGUUCCAUUUAGAUACAAAUCCUUUAUGCGACAAGUGAAUUCGAGUUAACUGAAUGACUUGCAUAUUAACGCACUUGAUCUUGCCCCUUUUGCUUUGUCUAGUUCCAAAAAGUUUUGGGUUUUAGUGUAAACCUGAAGCUUGGAUAUAGCUAGCUGUUGGUGAUUGUUGAAUUCUUUACAUUCUAGACUCCAUGUAUUCUAACACUUUACCAUAAACUUUGGCGAGGAUCAUGGCGGCCGGUGAUGCUCUCGACGACCAGGACCAUGACGGCCGGCAAAGGCUCUCAGCGAGCAGGAGCAUGGUGAUGGCCGACGUGCUCGGCAAGCAGGAGCACAACGGCCGGCGAAGCUCUUGGCGAGCAAGAACAUGACGGCAGGCGAAAGCUCUCGCCAAGCACAGCCGGCGGUGACUGCUCGGGAAUUGCAAGAGAGGUCGAGCGCACCGCGGUCGGUCUUUCGGCUGGCUUGGAGAAGCAGGAGGCAAACUGUGGCCUCCACUCUGGAACGGGAGCAUGGGCUUGGGGGCGGCAGCGAUGAGACCGUCCGCUAGAGGGGAAGGCUCGGACAAUGGAGGAGCUUCGGUGCUCCGGUGGCAUGGUCGAUGAGGCAGAGGUGGCGGAAGGUGAGCUCCGUCGUGGAUGAAAACGGGAACGUGGCGACGAGCCCCGGUUUCCGGAUCUUACACUCCAUUUUAUUCGUUGUCACUUUGGUGAAAACUGCUCUAUUAAUCUACAUAACUUUGUAACUAACACAUACAUCUCUUGUGCACUACUAGCAUUCGAAUCUUGAGACUUCAUAGUGAAAGGCAUGAGAGUCAAAAAUCAUAAUGAAACUGUGAAGUUUCGGUUGAGAAUUGAAGUUUUGGUGUAGAAUUGCUUGUUCUGAUUUUGGUUCAGAAUUGGAGUCAUUAUUUGCCUGGAGAUGUAAAGAUUAAUGUAUGCUUAUGUUGGUGUGGUUGGUUGAAUAUGUUCCUCGAAAUUUAUGUAUGAAUUUGUAUGCCUAA